AGUGGGGAAUUUUGGACAAUGGGGGCAACCCUGAUCCAGCAAUGCCGCGUGAGUGAAGAAGGCCUUCGGGUUGUAAAGCUCUUUUGUCAGGGAAGAAACAGCAGCUCUAACACAGUCUGCGAAUGACGGUACCUGAAGAAUAAGCACCGGCUAACUACGUGCCAGCAGCCGCGGUAAUACGUAGGGUGCAAGCGUUAAUCGGAAUUACUGGGCGUAAAGCGUGCGCAGGCGGUUAUACAAGACAGGCGUGAAAUCCCCGGGCUUAACCUGGGAAUGGCGUCUGUGACUGUAUGACUAGAGUGUGUCAGAGGGGGGUAGAAUUCCACGUGUAGCAGUGAAAUGCGUAGAUAUGUGGAGGAAUACCAAUGGCGAAGGCAGCCCCCUGGGAUAACACUGACGCUCAUGCACGAAAGCGUGGGGAGCAAACAGGAUUAGAUACCC
rnacentral:rRNA from 1 species